UACGUAGGGUGCAAGCGUUGUCCGGAAUUAUUGGGCGUAAAGGGCUCGUAGGCGGUCUGUCACGUCGGGAGUGAAAACACGGGGCUCAACCCUGAGCGUGCUUCCGAUACGGGCGGACUAGAGGUAUGCAGGGGAGAACGGAAUUCCUGGUGUAGCGGUGGAAUGCGCAGAUAUCAGGAGGAACACCGGUGGCGAAGGCGGUUCUCUGGGCAUUACCUGACGCUGAGGAGCGAAAGCAUGGGGAGCGAACAGG
rnacentral:rRNA from 1 species